UGCAACCCGACCUCAUGAAGCUGGAAUCGCUAGUAAUCGCAUAUCAGCCAUGGUGCGAUGAAUACGUUCUUAGGUCUUGUACUCA
rnacentral:rRNA from 1 species